UUCGCCACCUGAAAGAAAAUAGUAUUUUUAUUUCACGAUUUAAAAGGACCAAGGGAAUGUACGGAGAAUGUACAAAAAUCUCCAGCAUUUUAAACAAGCCUAAAAUAUAAUAGAAGAUGUCGUGCAGGCGUAUAGAUCGAAGUAAGUUUGGAGAGGUACCGAGGACCACUACCACAAACAGUAGACUAAGUCAAAGUGGAAAAAGUACAAACUUCACGAGACACGACUGGCAGAAUGGGCGAUAUAUCUUGCUACACCAAGGAAGAAAAUCAUCAUUCUUACAAUAAUUAACUUGUUAUUAGCCUAAAUGUAAAGAAAAUCACUUAAAAACACAAUGAAAAGUAAAAAACCCUUACAAGUCAAAAGAAGCACUCCUGUUAUCAGUGUAAGAAGUAUCAAUAGGACAAAACGAACUUUGGUGAACAUGUCCAUGUUCGAGUGUAGCUGCUGUACACUGUUGGAAGUGGUAUUGAUACAGAAAGACCUUAUCUACAAAUGAAAACUUGUCUGUUCCGAGGAAGUUUAAAUCUAAUUUUCCUUGUAUGUAUUUAUGAUAUCAACUAUAGCACCCCUGUUGAAAACUAGUGCACAUUGUCAAAAGAAACAGCUACAAUAACAGUCCUCAUGCUCCUUCACUGUCUACGAAACGAUCGCCCUUUCCGAUCGGAAGAUCAGUUUCCUUUAUUUCAAUAUUUAAAACAAAAUUAAAAGGUCUUAUCUGAAAUAAACAAUGCUGUGGACUCGUGUAACAUGAUGAAUUAAGUGGUUGACAAUAACCUAAACUGGUACAGAGAUUACAGAGAUAAAUUACAGUAAAUGCGGGGUUACAUGUUCUGGUACACUCCUAUCAUCGACAGUUUGUUAAAUUGAAAUUUUUUAAAGGAUUGAUAGUAGAUAGCACUGAUGUUGCGGAAAAUAAAUAACAACCCUUUAAAUGAUUAAGUUUCAUGAGCCUUUCAGAGACUUAACUCAGAUGUUUUUCAAUUGAGUGCAGAUGUCUUCUGGUUAGACUUCCAUCUCACAGGAUUCUCUACUUCAGAAGAUAUUUCCCUGUAUUCCCAGUAGAAGAUUAUUGUCAGGAACGCAAGUUUAGGUGUGUAUGUGAGUGUAUGUUGUUAUAGUAAAAUGCAUGAAAUCGGUGAAGCGAGGUAGUACUUCUUUACUUCUGGAAACAAUCAUUGUUCUAAGAUAAUUUUACAAGUAUAUAGUGAGAAGACAAUCAUCAUCUUAAUAAUAAUUUAAAUAAAACUAAACUGUAAAUUAAGAUUAAAUGACCAUUUAUAAUCUACUCCCUACCAGAGACUCUAAGAGGAAGUUAGCAGCAUCCAUCUGCUUUCUGUCGUUCUUGAGUUCACACACUCCAUUGUUAUUGAAACUUAGUAUUAAGAAAUGUCCUCGUUCAUUAUUAAUUCUUAUAACAAUGUUCUCACUGAGAAGGUUUGGUCAGUUUAAGUGGAUGGAGCACAGUCAACUGGUAAUCGCAGCUUCUUCCCUUUUUCGGUUUUAUUAAGUAGAUAACACUUGUUCCUUUUCAUGUUCCUCACACGGUUAACAGAAAAUUUACCAUACAGUGAUUCACGCACCUGUCUAAUUUUUCUCCUACCUUCUUUCUAUCUAUAUAUUUCCAAAUCUUGCUAUUUCUAUCUUUUCAAUCGGUGUUCUGCACACAUGAGUAUUCCACCAACAACAUUUUGUCUUAAAAUACAACGAAGAUAAUAUUAGUCAUCCCUUAUAUAUCUUCAAAAAUCAUAAAAAGUGAACACACAUUUUGCAAUACAGAAAUACUAACAUAUGGCUAAGAUAGAGGUCUCUAUUCAUUUCGAAACAAGUGUCUUCACAGAAAAGAACAGUCAUUUUGCACACACACACACAUAUAUAUAUAUAUGUCUGUGUCCAUUCAAUUGUUCUCAUUCAAAUUAUCAACCAUUAAAGUACACUUACCUCUUUUUAGACAGAUAUGUGGGGUUUCUGCUUCAGCUACAAUCAGCUUUACUUUGCUUGUAAAGUAAAAAGACAUUGCAUGGCGCAUAGUCUAUGGUCGCAAAAAGUUCAGCAUAACAUUUCUUUAAGCUGAUAAGUUUGUAGCGGAUAUUUAAAUGUUACCUUUGACUCUGAAUAACGAAUAUGGUUGGGUUGUCGUGAACUCCGGAGAACGAGCACGCGAAGAUGUCCAGAGGUUGCGAUUGUCGUCUACUCGGGCUGAUCACUCUCGACACCUCAACCCACUCACGCCGACAUUUACGUGUACGCGCACACUUACACUAAAUUGCAAAUAAUACUUAAGUUAACUCUGAGCCCCAGCGCGUAUCCCUAAUAACAAAUACAAGGCAAUUUAGUGUAAAAGAAAUUUAUUAAUGAUCGAGAGUUCUACAAAUCAAUUUACAAGAUAAUACAAUUACAAAUAUGACUGUUCUCUAGGUGUCCCGUUUACUUCCCUGUAUCUAGUCCAGGUAUCAUGAGUCACUACCUCAACACACAGCACACUACACUCAAUCUGACACACACUCGCCAUGUAUCUCUCCACACUAAAGUUUCUUGCAAUUCGGAGGGCCCUCCGAUGUUGCUGACGUCCGAGAAUACAUGUGUCCAAAACCGGAAUAUUUAUAAUAUAUAUCUUGAAGUACAGAUUAGAUCCUAACCUUAAGGAUUAGUCAUAUAUAUAUAUGCAAAAAUGUAUACAUGCAUACUAGCCUUAUAUUGCAAAAUGCAGAUUGACUUUGUAUUGUGCCAAUCUCUCUAUAGAGUAGGAGGGAAGGGUUUUAUCCAGCAGGGGCUGCUUAUACAUUUUCAUACACGGCAGUGAAAACAAUCCUUGACCAAUUCUGAGUCGACCUCUAUGGGUGAUAAACUGUUCCUUCCUCUACUCACUGGGCAAUCCUUUCCCCAGUUUAGACCUGCCUCUUUGAUCGUAGAAGUGAAUUGUGAGCCUUCAGUGGCCGUGCGAGUUGGAGCUUACAUUCUACUAUUUUUCGGCCAUGCAGUGAAUUUCCCUUACUGGAUGGUGUAUCGGCUCCUUGUGUUAGCACGAAGGUGGCUCCCUCUGAGCCAAUGUCAGCCCAACAUCCUGUGCUACCAUGGUUGUUUAAUAUGGUACCAGUGGCUAGUAAUAACUGCAAAGCUAGUUCAUACAAUUUCUUCGCUAAGUGCGGUUAAAGGUUUCUGGAAGAACUGUUCAUUGUGUCUCCCUCUUGGUUUACAUCCAUUCCACAUGUCGGACCUUUCCUCAACAUCACUAGGUACAUAUAUAUCUAUUUACUUUAUAGUUUGAGUAGCAGCCUCAGCUUCCUGUUGUAACAAAGAUGCAGUUGAUGCAAGUUAAAUGCGUACAUUUAUUUAAGAUACUAUUAAACUGAACUUACAGACAAGGAAAUAAAAAAGAGACGGGAAGAUGGUCGCAUAAAGAUCUCACAAAGCUAUAUAGAAAGGAUAAAAUCUUAUUACUUUCGGUUUCCCAAACUUACGGAAAUCACGAUCUGAGCAACAUGAAAGUAAUCUCCUCCCUUAAUAUCUAGAUUAAAGAAGCGGAUUAUGCGUAGCCAUUUGUGUCUGGCUGAAAACAUAAUUCUAUUGAAGACACUUUCAAAUAUUUUGCUAGUCUCCCACUUAUUCACUGAACUUACUGUUCUUCCCCUUGUACUGCUCAGUCUGAAUCUUAUCUUGAGCAACUGUUAUUUAUAUGAAGACACUGGUGAUGAAUAAAGACCUGCAACUCUGUGACAUCAAAAUCACUUCUCUGCUCGUGAGUGUGAGCAAGCUGAGAAGGCAAACUGAGGAGGGCCUGCGACAAUAAAAUAUAUGUUUGCUUGAGGGUCCCGUUGCCUUCACAUCUGACUACCGGCCAGUCAUCUUCACACUGGGCAGUAAGAGAGUAGCUCAAGAUUCCUACAUGUGAAGUUUUCAGUUCAGUUCCAUGUUUAUCCAGCAGA